UGGACUAGUCGACCUUUAAGGUCCCUUCCAACUCAAAUGAUUCUGUGAUUCUAUGGUUCAAUGCUUUUUGGAUGUAGGAAAAUCUCAGGACUCCAGUGACUGGUAACCCUAUGUGCAGUGGUGAGUAAGCUGAAGAGGAUGCAGCCAAAACAGCACUGUGCUGCAGGAGGAGGGUAACAUCAGUGCUGAGGCCUACGGGUAAGCACGCUGGUAUCUCCCUAUUUCCUGAGCUAGAUUUUAGUGGGCUUACUCACGAAGUCAGUGAGGAAAUGGAAGGUGUAGGCACUCCAGGAGCUAGUAGCUGUAUGCUGUAGCUGCAUGCGGCCUGACAGGCCUUGACCACAUGUUUUCAGUUAACCGGGGACAGGAUGUGCAGAUAGCUCCAGACACAUGAGGAGCCCAAAAAUCUGUUUUCCUUUUUGUGGCUGCUCACAUCAUUGCCUGCUGUAAUAAUAGCUCGGUCUGUUAGUGGGUUGGUCAGUAGUGAUGGCAUAUUCCCUUCUGACACGUUUGCUGCAUCGUAGCACGAAGGUCAAGUGAAUUAAGGAACUGAAAGUGUUAUGAGAUUGAGCUGCCAAGUGGGGUGACAAAUGGAUACAACAAAGCCCUGUUGACAAGAGAAAGAGGAGGAAACUGAAGGGUCCCAUGAGGACUUUGCUCUUCUCAGUCUGGUAUGUCCUGCAGAGACCCUGAAGGAGGCUAUGUAACGCUGCUCCCAGGCCUCUGUCCUCAGUGUGGAGCGCUGGCACACUCCACAAGCGAGUCUCACUAUGUCUGCUGCCCACUGCAGAGUGGUGAGGCUUCAGUGCUCUGUACUGCACCACUGCUGGUGUGAGAUGUGACUUUUUCUCUCUACCUGGCCCACUUCUCUUUUUCUCCAGCCUCUGUGAAUGGCUCUCCUCUGUCUGACCCGUGUCUUCUGCCACUAUUCUCUAUUUCUUCACCUCCUCCUGGUUUCAGGUUCCUCUAAGGCUCUGCACUGAGCCACCCCAAAGGUUCUGGCAUAGGGUCAUUGUGCAAGGCAGUGCUCACAGGUUUUCUCAUCCUUGUUUCCUUCCUUGUCUGCCUUGUUUCAGUCUUUAGUGUCAGGGCAAGAGUGCUUUAAUGUAUACAAAACUGUACUCUCCCUAUAAAAGGUUGGAGCGCCUUUGCCAUUUUUUUCCCCAAAUGAUUUCCACCGUGGAUGGUUUUGUUGCCAACAGGUGACGUUUAGCCCAGACAUCUGAGAGACUCCUGCUCAACAGCAGGGUGCCCAGCAGACCUGGCUUCAAGCCGUGUGACUGAGGCAAAUAGAGCAGAGCAAAACCUCAGUUGUACAAAGCUCUUCUGAACCCCAAAAGCCUUUGUCAGACCUUCAGUGGAGCACAUUCACAGGCCCUGUUUUGAAGAGCGAUGCUUUGUCUUCUCCUAGCUUUAAACAGUUCCCCAAAAUAAACCCACUGCUAUUUACUGGCAUUGUUUUCUUCCUCGUGUACAAUGCUGAUAAAUAAUCAGACUCAUUAUAUUAUAUUUGUGUCUGCUCUAGUGGAAAAUAAUUACAGCAAUUACUACCAAAUCAAAAUGCUUCUGUUUCUCCUGGUGUCAUUAGCAUGUCCCAAACAUUUUGUUCUUGUGGUUUAAAGUGCAGUAAUAACACAGUCCAAGUGCAGCACCCGGCGGAGCGGCGCUUCCCCGCACAGCAAGCUUCCCGGCCCUGAUUGCCUUUGAGAUGCUGCUAAUUUUCAAUCAUGGUGUCAGAUCCUCUUCUACCGCAGGGAGAGCAACUGCUUAGCCUGUGAUUUACCCAAUUUAUUCCGGUAAUAACCGGGCUGGCUGUGCAGCCAUCUGUCUGCUUUACGUGCUCCUCCUGCCCCCGGCUUCCACUGCUGCGCAGACAGAGAGGUGUCUCUGUCCUUGUGACAGUGGAGGGAGAAGAUAUCGCUUCAGCUCACUGACGAAAAGGGUCUCUGUGCCCUCAUAGAAAGGCACCAAUGUUCCCCUCUCUUCUCUGCCCAGAUGCAGCAAGUGGUGCAGCCCCUCUCUGGUGACCUCUGGGCACCAGAGCUGCCAGGCACACUGCUGGCAGUGCUGCUCGUGGUGUGUAUUUCCACCAGGCUGGGAAGGGAAGGCCUGCGUUAGGUAGGGCAUGGUGCAUUAGUAGGGCCUCAGCUACUCUCUGACUCAGGUUGGGGGAGCUACCAUCAGUUUGUGAGGGGGAAACUAAGGCACAGAGCGGUUAAAGGAAGGGUCCAGUGCUUGUGACAGACUGAGCUUGUCCCUGCUCCCGUUGAGGUCACAGGGGAGGGCUGUUCUCUGCUCCCAUUGAGGUCACACAGGAGAACAGUUCCAGUGCCAAGGCUGGAGUCCAGGCCAAGCCCCAUGGAGGGGCUGCAUCGCCCAGAAACGUGAGCAUUAUAUGCACUGUCGUAGCAUCAGUUUUCUUCUGGCCAUUCAUCAGAGGCCCAUACACACCCCCAACCACAGAAGGAUUCCCUUCCUGCGGAUGGAGGAGAGCUCAGGUGCAGUGAGGUCUGUGCAUCAUGAGCUCCACCUGGAGGUUGUUUGCUCUAAUCGGUGGGUUUUAAAAGCAGAGAGCCAACCUAAUAGUGCUGGGUCAGAAUCAGCAGGGCCUAGGAGUAUCUGCAGGAAUGUCCUGGCUGCUGAAACAGGAGCUGGAUGUGGAGCAUCAGAAGAAGAGAUUUCAGGAGAUGAAUCCUCCAUCCUACAUGUCUGUUUUAAGAGUCAGACACUUGUUACAACAGGAAAAAAGAAAAACCAUCUCUCAGACUCUCUCAAAUUCAAAUGCACUUAUAUAUACUUACAUAUGUAUAAUGUGUGUAUAUGUAUAAACACACUCAGAGGCCAAACCUCAAUUUAAGUAAAUUAAGCAAUUAAGCAUCUAAUUAAGUUACCAUUAGCAAAUGAUGAACCCAGCACACGCUCUCUUGAACUGCAGUAGCAUUGCUAUGCAGUAAUUGAACAGCCAUUACACUUGACUUCUGGGUGCCUUUCACAGAGUAAAAAGGAGUUUCAUAUUGUACAAAGUACUGUACAAUUACUCAGUUCCUUCUGGAUGCAGAUUGGGGAAAAAUGAUUAAAAAAAGCUACACUAUGCUCCCAGCUCCUUCCAGAUCUCAUCUGGGCUUACCAACCUCCACAGCAGCAAUGCAUCUGCCUCAGCCACAAAAUCAGCUGUGACUCUCUAAAGAGAGGACAGGUAGUUGUGAUGGCAUUGCUGCUUUUGCAUUUGGAAAACUAUCUGCUUACUGGAAGGGUGCACAAUUGCCCACGGAAAGUAACAACAGUAAUUUUUUCAGACUUUAGCCAAA